rnacentral:rRNA from 1 species
AAUAGAUACCCGGGUAGUCCACGCCGUAAACGGUGGGCACUAGGUGUGGGCAGCAUUCCACGUUGUCCGUGCCGUAGCUAACGCAUUAAGUGCCCCGCCUGGGGAGUACGGCCGCAAGGCUAAAACUCAAAGGAAUUGACGGGGGCCCGCACAAGCGGCGGAGCAUGUGGCUUAAUUCGACGCAACGCGAAGAACCUUACCAAGGCUUGACAUACACCGGAAACAUCCAGAGAUGGGUGCCCCCUUGUGGUCGGUGUACAGGUGGUGCAUGGCUGUCGUCAGCUCGUGUCGUGAGGUGUUGGGUUAAGUCCCGCAACGAGCGCAACCCUUGUCCCGUGUUGCCAGCAGGCCCUUGUGGUGCUGGGGACUCACGGGAGACCGCCGGGGUCAACCCGGAGGAAGGUGGGGACGACGUCAAGUCAUCAUGCCCCUUAUGUCUUGGGCUGCACACGUGCUACAAUGGCCGGUACAAAGAGCUGCGAUACCGUGAGGUGGAGCGAAUCUCAAAAAGCCGGUCUCAGUUCGGAUUGGGGUCUGCAACUGACCCC